ACCAAGCACAACCAUUGAAGCAGAUGGAGCAUCGCGAGUUCACAUCGGAGACAAUCACCAUCCUCCGACCACACCUCCACCUCUCACCACCAACCAAGAACACCACCAUCGUUGAUCAAUUCUGAACUAAUACCACCAUCACCGAUCCAUCUUAACCCAACACCACCACCAUCAUCGAUCCAUUGUCCAUGACGCUCAGGGAAAUGGAACUUGACUCAUAAACGCUCUCCUGAAAUUCACUGGACGAUGUUGUUCUCAUACUCGAUUCCAUCGCCAAAAAAUAGCAGUGAUUGGAAAUUCCAAUUCACCAAAUUUUGAGACGCAAAACCAGCUUGUGAUUUUCUAUAAUUGGUGCCUAACAAGUCACUCCCUCUGCAAUUUGUCACUUCAAACACACUUGGAUUCAAUCCAAGACCCUAAUUGGUCCAACCCAAUCGAAUCAAACCCUAAACUCGUAUGCAACAUAGACGACGACAACGAUGCCGAAUAAAUCAACUUUGAAGUCUCCUUCCAAUCCACCUUCCUAUCACAAAACACAAUUCGAGCAUCUCUAAAUGCCGGCAAAAACUUAUCCUUCGCAAAUUUCUCUUUGGAAGCCUGGACACAGAUCGCCAUUUCACGCUCUUCGCAUUUUUUUUUUUUUAGGUAAAAACGCUCUUCGCAUUUGGCUCUAUCCGUAAAGUCCAUUUUCGAUCUACCCAAUACAGUUUUCCACCACGGGCUUACACUUGCUCGAUGCGCUGAUGGCGCAGCCGAUUCCGGCACCGACCUCGCAUUGUGUGGUGAUAUGGGAUUCGCAAGCUUUGUAUGCGGAGAACCAAGAUUGGGCGUUCUUGAAUGCCAGGACGAAAAUUCCGGUAGAUGGGUCGUCCGGUAAACCGGCGGCGAGAGGUCCUCGGAGAAGAGGGACUGGAGAGUCGAAGUUAACGAUGGUCGAUGAAGGUGAAUAGUCGUUGAGAUCAGUUGGUUGAGUAUCCAUAUUUUAGGGUUUUAGAGAGCUUGGAUUCUCUCGUCAUUGUGUGGUUCAUAUUGUCGUUCAGUUAUUAAAAGUGUGCAAAAUUCAUUAUUUGAUUUGGAUUUUACGUAUCGAUUUAGCAGAGAAGUGACGGCGGCAGUGAAGCGGUGAAGGUGCGCUGGAGAGAGAGAGAAUGGUCUGUGGUGUGGUUUAAGGGUAGUUUGGUCCACUCAACAUGAAUUUUAUGGUCAAUUGUUUACCUUACAAGAGUAACAACGUCUUUCUACAUUGUUAAUGAUAAAUUUUUUAAUAAAAAAUAUUAUUUUUUGUAUGGAUGGAGGUCAUCGCAAAAUGAAGAAAAUCUCAGGAGUCACAUUAUAAUAAAAUGACAAAUUUCAGAUUUAGUUACAAUUAGUUUAAAUUUCGGAAAAGUCAUUGCAGUUUAUCCUUUAAAAUUUCGCACCAGUACCACAAAAAGAAAAGAAAAGAGAACACUCUAGCCCUAAUUCCAGCCAAACGUCUACUAUGUCUGCAAUUCACGGUCAUUUCUCUCACCCCGCCGACCUACGAUCGUCGUCACCACCGCUUUGGCAAGACCGCAAGUAUGUUAUACACUACAUUUAGCUUUAAGAAGCUAAGGGAGGAAUAGUUGCAUGGCCUGCCAAGUUUGUUAGAAGAACUUAGUCGUACUUGUUUUCAGAGCUGAGAGCUUAGAGGAAAGUUGCAGUUGUAUGAUUGUCUCGAUGUAUCGACCGAAGUUUUCAACCUCAACUUACUUUCUAGCAUUUGUCAAAUAUAAUGUGAUUCUCUUCUGCCUGUAUCUUUCUGAGAACCAAAAUUUGAAUUGGAAAUUGGGUUUACCUGAGCUGCUGGAUAAACUUCAGGGACGGCGACCGUGGCCGGAAAAGAUGAAGAUGCACCUACAUCAAGCAUGGGUUUUGUAUCAAUGGGGGAUAAAUAGAGGGUGAGUCAACCGUGUACUGCAGUUUUGCUUCAGCUUCGGCAAAGAGAUUUUUGUGACAGUAGGAGAGGUCUUCAACUAGCUCUUGGCUAACUCGGAGCAUAGGUCAGAAAUUGUUUUCCUCAGUUCUUUCCUCAUCUCCUCUGCUCUUCCAUAUUUUUCUUGAGCCCAUUCAAGUUUUUCAGUUAGAGCAUCUCCAAUGUAAAAUGCUAUAUUUCCAUGCCAAAUCGAUAUUUUGAGAGGUGCUACAGUGUCAAAAUUCUACAUUUUUGCAAUUAUGCUCCAAUGAUGCAUUUCAUUCAAAAUGCUAUUUUUUGACACAAUUAUCAUUCCAUGUUUUGAGAGCCCAUUGGAGUGCUUUAUUUUCAUUCUAGCAAUUUUUGACAAUCUCAAAAUAUGAGAGGUCUUUUGAGAGAGCUCAUUGGUGUGCCUAUUUUCAACCACUUGCUAUAUUUUGGAUUAAUUUGGUCAAUAUAAGUUAACACAAAAAAAGAAUCAUGGAAAGAAAAUUAAAACAAAGAACAAUGACUAUCUGUCAAGGUUGCUCAGAUGGAAGAGUCUCAGGAAUAAUCCUACCUUGAAGUCAAGUCCAACUCUUGAUUUAAGCAAUAUAAGGACCUUCAUCAUCACCACGACCAUUAGGGCUCCUAAUUGUCACUACAAAUAAAUUCCCCCAAGCAUAAACAACAAUGCCUCAACAAACUACAGAAAUAACUAAAGUUUUAGUGCUAAAAGUUUCAAAUGCUUACCACAAAUCACCACUACAAGAACAAAAUUCAUUACAUACAUGGAGGCAUUGAAUAAUAGAGGAAAUAGGGGAGUUAAAUGUAAGAAACAACCAACAAAAACAUCUAUGCAAAGAGCUCUUCAUAGGAAGUGUAGUAUCAAAGUCAUCACUCUAGUGGUGAUCAGUGUUGCUAGGCUUGAUUUUUAUCUUACUCUUGGGAACGAUGGUACAA